UGCAUAUUUUAUUUUCAUCUGAUUUCCAACAAUAAUUCAUUACUAACCUGGAAAAUCUCCAUAUCCCACUAUUGAUUUCAACAUGCUGGCAUUUACUGGCAUCUCUUUAAGCAUGUCUGAAGCAUGUCACAUCCACUGCUGCAGAUUUUUAUGAGUGCAGCAUGCAGAGUCUUGUUCAUCACUGGUGAAAAUGCAUAGCUGAUAAUGGUGACUAUGUUGGAACAUCCUGUUUUGUAGCUGAGAACUUAUCAAAUAAUGUUACUGUGCUCCUUGAAUCUGUCAUAAUUUCUGGGGAAAUAAAUAGAAGGCAUUACUUUUGGGGCAAUGUAGGUGCUUUGAGUGUAAUCUUACUGAGGUGCCACUUGCUCCUUGCUCCUUAAUGUUAUGCAUUUUUCAUAAGCAGAAGUAUUUUUAAAUGAUCACUCACCAGUCAAAACCAUUUAUUCUCUUUUUAUGAAAAGAUUGCCUAUAAAAAUUAAGUAAAAAGUUUAUAACAAUUUAACAGUGAAGACCUAAGAACAAUUAGCUUCUUCCUAAAGAAGAAUAUACAGAUAUAUUUAUUAAACACCUGACAGGCAUUUCCUCAGAGGUUUUUCUGCUGAACAAGGGUAGUAAUUAGAUGUCACUUUUAAAAAGUAUUUGAAAUACAAACAAACAAACGUAUCUUCUAGUAGACUAACAUUAAUAUACUUCAUUCCGAUGCAAAAAUCACAAAGAGUUUCUGGAGGUUCAUAAUUUCCUCUGAUGCAUAAAAUUAUGAAUGUGGUAUGUCACAGAUACGAUUUCAUAAAGAAAAAGAGCAGCUGCCACUGUGUAUAAUCUUGGCAAAUGACUUAUAAAGCAGAAAUUUAUCCUAGUUAUGUAUUAUCUGCACUGUUAUCUUUAUAUGCACACACACACAGAAAAUCUUACUUUUGUCCAUUACUAGGAGGGAACAUUAAUCCACGAGAGUUGGGAAUUGUCAACUUACAUAUCAGUUUUAUCAACCCAGAUUAAAUUCAUCUUUAAUUGGUAAAGCUUUUAAAUGUUUCAAGUGAUUUCAAUUUCUGAAGCUCUAAGCUAUCAUACAGUGCUGCCACAUGUAAAGGAGCUACUUAUAUUCUGCAAGCCUACUAAAUAAAUAGAUAUUUUAUAAUGCCUUGUGAACCUAUAUAGAAUUUGAUAUAAAAUGUGGAAAAUUCUAAAUUUCUUUCAUUUUGAGACAGACAUUAAAGCUUACAUGAAAGAAAAUCAAAUUACAUUACUGGAUUAAAAUUUAC
ensembl:lncRNA